UAUGAGAAUAGUUUAGUGGCGAACGGGUGCGUAACACGUGGAUACAUUCCGGGAAGCGGGGGAUAGCCCAGGGAAACUUGGAUUAAUACCGCAUGUGAUCGAAAGAUCAAAGACGGGGACCGAAAGGCCUGUCACUUCCCGAUUGGUCCGCGGCCUAUCAGCUAGUUGGCGGGGUAAAAGCCCACCAAGGCUACGACGGGUAGCUGGUCUUAGAGGACGACCAGCCACACUGGAACUGAGACACGGUCCAGACACCUACGGGUGGCAGCAGUCGAGAAUCUUUCACAAUGGGGGCAACCCUGAUGGAGCGACGCCGCGUGGAGGAUAAGGUCUUCGGAUUGUAAACUCCUGUCAUGCGCGAACAAGGUUGCAAGGUUAAUAACUUUGCAAAUUGAUGGUACCGCAAGAGGAAGAGACGGCUAACUCUGUGCCAGCAGCCGCGGUAAUACAGAGGUCUCAAGCGUUGUUCGGAAUCACUGGGCGUAAAGGGUGCGUAGGUGGCGUGGUAAGU
rnacentral:rRNA from 1 species